AAACCAACAGGGAUUGCCCUAGUAACGGCGAGUGAAGCGGCAACAGCUCAAAUUUGAAAUCUGGCUCUCUUUGGGGGUCCGAGUUGUAAUUUGCAGAGGAUGCUUUGGCAUUGGCGGCGGUCUAAGUUCCUUGGAACAGGACAUCACAGAGGGUGAGAAUCCCGUACGUGGUCGCCUGCCUUUGCCGUGUAAAGCUCCUUCGACGAGUCGAGUUGUUUGGGAAUGCAGCUCUAAAUGGGAGGUAAAUUUCUUCUAAAGCUAAAUACUGGCCAGAGACCGAUAGCGCACAAGUAGAGUGAUCGAAAGAUGAAAAGUACUUUGGAAAGAGAGUCAAAAAGCACGUGAAAUUGUUGAAAGGGAAGCGCUUGCAGCCAGACUUGCCCGCAGUUGCUCACCUAGGCUUUGGCCUGGGGCACUCUUCUGCGGGCAGGCCAGCAUCAGUUUGGGCGGUUGGAUAAAGGCCUCUGUCACGUAUCUCCCUUCGGGGUGACCUUAUAGGGGAGGCGCAAUGCAACCAGCCCGGACUGAGGUCCGCGCAUCUGCUAGGAUGCUGGCGUAAUGGCUGUAAGCGGC
rnacentral:rRNA from 1 species